UACAGAGGUCCCGAGCGUUGUUCGGAUUCACUGGGCGUAAAGGGUGCGUAGGUGGCGAGGUAAGUCGGAUGUGAAAUCUCCAAGCUUAACUUGGAAAUGGCAUUGGAAACUACCUGGCUAGAGGUUUGGAGGGGGGACUGGAAUGCUUGGUGUAGCAGUGAAAUGCGUAGAGAUGUGGAGGAACACCGAUGGCGAAGGCAGCCCCCUGGGUUAACACUGACGCUCAGGCACGAAAGCGUGGGGAGCAAACAGG
rnacentral:rRNA from 1 species